GUAAAAUACAAUUUGAUGACGUGUCAACGGCCCACAGUUUCUCUCUCCUGCAUGUGCGGGCAUUUUCAAGGCCAGACGAGUGACCACAGGGCCACAGCUGAAACUCAUUGAAGUGUAAUGUGGUGAAUGGUAAGUAAUUUUAUGCUUAGCUAAUUACACAUAUUUGCAUUCGCUCAGGAUUCUGUUGGUGAUAGCCUACUGUAACCGAAUACCGAUAUCUGGAAGUCCGAAUUUGAACAGUGUUGAUAGUACAGUCUGUGUGACGAGGUCUUCAAUCACUUUGCCGUGUGCCUUGCAAGAACAAAAAACUCUAGCCUUAAUCUUCUCCUGGUAUCCUGGUGUCAUGGACCAAGGGGUUCAAGUGUCAUCAACAUCACCUUCUCCUUCCCCUGAGUAUCCUGGGGUCGUGGAUCAAGGGGUUCAAGUUGAGACGUGAUCAGCUUCCUGAAGAAAGCCGUGAAGAAGUCUUCAGUCACUUUGCUGUGUGCCUUGCAAGGACAAAAAAACUCUAGCCUUAAUCUUUUCCUGGUAUCCUGGUGUCGUGGAGCAAGGGGUUCAAGUUGAGAUGUGGUCAGUGUGAAGAAGCACGGAGUGGAACAGAAACAUCAAAUAUGGACUGGCCUUGCAAAGACCCAGAGCAAAGAGACCCAGUGAGCAGUCUGAUUGAUGAGAGAAGAGAUGAUGAUGUGAGUACUGUCAAAGUUGAUUGAAAGAAGCUUUGCUCAUUUGAUGUUGAAAUUAGUGCCUGGAACUUUUGUUUUGGAUCAUUUUCAUGUGUACAAGUCAAAGGAUGGUGAUUCAUGCACAGGGUUUUACUUAAUUUUAUAACACUGUACCUCCUCAUAAAGCUUCUGAGUACAUGUUUUGUGUCUUACGAGAA